rnacentral:tRNA from 1 species
UCCCUGGUGGCUCAGCUAGUAAAGAAUCUGCCUGCAGUGCAGGAGACCCUGGUUCGAUUCCUGGGUUGGGAA